AUAAAGUUUUUUUGCUUUUAGAUUUUAAAAAAGCUUGGGUUAAAUGUGAGUGUUGGCGAUAAAAAAGUAUAUAUUUAGAGAAAUUAUUAGUUUGGGGGACAGUAAUUAAUAUUAUAGAUUCGGGGGGCCGAGAUAUAGUUGAGUUAAAUAGUAUAGACAAAGUUUGUGCCAGCAGUUGCGGUUAUACAAAUUAUGCAUUAAAAUCUUGUUAGGUAUAGUAAAUCGAGGGGGUACUAGAUUGAAUAUAUUUUUAUUGGGUGAAAUUUUAUAAAUUUAUUAAUUUAGGUUUUAAGGCUGAGGGUAAAGCUAAAAAAUUUUAUUAAAAAACUAGGAUUAGAUACCCUAUUAUAAAAAUGUAAAUAUAAAACCUAAAUUAUUAAUAGUUAAGUUCUUAAAAAUUAAUAAAGAUGGCGGUGUUUUAGUCUGUUCAGAGGAAUCUGCCCUGUAAUUGAUAUUCCACGAUUUAAAUUACUUGUUUUUUUAGUUUAUAUAUCGCUGUAGAUUGAAUAUUUCUAUUGAAUUAUAAUGUUCAUGAUUUUGAUAAAAAAAGAUAUCAAGUCAAGAUGUAGCUUAUAAAUAAGAAGAGGUGGAUUACAUUAAUAAUAUUAAUGGUUGAUAAUUUGAAAUGAUUAUUAUAAAAUGGAUUUGAAGGUAAUUUUUUAAAAAGAUUUUAAAGAUGAUUUUAGCUCUAGAAUAUGUACAUAUCGCCCGUCGCUUUCGCUACAAAGUGGAAUAAGUCGUAACAUAGUAGGUGUACUGGAAAGUGUUUCUAGAAUACA
rnacentral:ncRNA from 1 species